rnacentral:tRNA from 1 species
GGAGAGGUGGCUGAGUGGUUGAAGGCGCACGGCUGGAACCCGUGUUGGCGGGAAACUGUCACCAGAGUUCGAAUCUCUGUCUCUCCGCCA